rnacentral:rRNA from 1 species
UACAGAGACUGCAAGCGUUAUUCGGAUUCACUGGGCGUAAAGGGUGCGCAGGCGGCCAAGUGUGUGAGGCGUGAAAGCCCGAAGCUUAACUUCGGAAUUGCACCUCAAACUACAUGGCUAGAGCAUUGGAGAGGGUAGCGGAAUUCACGGUGUAGCAGUGAAAUGCGUAGAUAUCGUGAAGAACACCAGAGGCGAAGGCGGCUACCUGGACAAUUGCUGACGCUCAGGCACGAAAGCGUGGGGAGCAAAAGGG